rnacentral:rRNA from 1 species
UCGGGAAUUUUGGGCAAUGGGGGAAACCCUGACCCAGCAACGCCGCGUGAAGGAUGAAGUAUUUCGGUAUGUAAACUUCGAAAGAAUAGGAAGAAUAAAUGACGGUACUAUUUAUAAGGUCCGGCUAACUACGUGCCAGCAGCCGCGGUAAUACGUAGGGACCAAGCGUUGUUCGGAUUUACUGGGCGUGAAGGGCGCGUAGGCGGCAUGACAAGUCACUUGUGAAAUCUCUGGGCUUAACCCAGAACGGCCAAGUGAUACUGUCGCGCUAGAGUGCAGAAGGGGCAAUCGGAAUUCUUGGUGUAGCGGUGAAAUGCGUAGAUAUCAAGAGGAACACCUGAGGUGAAGACGGGUUGCUGGGCUGACACUGACGCUGAGGCGCGAAAGCCAGGGGAGCAAACGGGAUUAGAUACCCCCGUAGUCCCUGAGCGGGCUGGCAAGGCGCAU